GCCAGCAGUUGCGGUUAUACAAAUAAUACAAUUUAAUUUUAUUAAUAUUAAUUAAUUUGAAUUAUAAUUUUAAAAAAAAAUUUAUUAGGUGAAAUUUUAAAUUUUUAAAUAAAUUGUUUAUUUAUAAUGAAGUUAAGAAAUUUUUAUUAUAGACUAGGAUUAGAUACCCUAUUAUUUUAAAAGUAAUUAUAUUAUUUAAUUAGUAUUAGUUAUGUUCUUAAAAAUUAAAAAUUUUGGCGGUAUUUUAGUCUUUUCAGAGGAACCUGUUCUAUAAAUGAUAAUCCACGAUUUAAUUUACUUUUUUUAUUAAUUUAUAUAUCGUCGUAAUAAAAUAUUUUUAUAGAAUUUUAAUAUUUAAGAUUUUUUAUUAAAAAAUUAAUCAGAUCAAGGUGUAGUUUAUAAAAAAGUAGAAAUGGGUUACAUUUAAUUUAUUAUUGGAUUGUUAAUAUUAUUAUUAAUAUGAAUUUGGAUUUGAAAGUAAAAUUAUUUAAUUUAUAAUUGAUAGCUCAAU
rnacentral:rRNA from 1 species